GGUUAGAAGUUGACAAAAUAUGUACUUGCCACUCGGGCAAGCCUUUUAGCAAUUUUACUUGCCCUGAUUAAUUAGUACUUGCCACGGGCAAGCGGACAAGCAUGAGUGUCGAACCCUGAAGAACAUGGGUUGCUGAAGAUCAAUUCUAACGCGGAUCUUCACGGGUCCUGCAUCCUGUAAGUGAACCAAAUGUUAACCAACAAAGACACGCAUCAGCCAUUCUUUUUCAUAGAGAUCGACCUUUGGGUACAUAUAUGCAUUUUCUGCGGCUGGAAAUGUCAU